rnacentral:lncRNA from 1 species
AUGAAAAGAUGUCACUAUCUUCAAGACAGAUACAACUGUCUUUGUGAAAAACUGAUCCCUCUAAAGCAAUUUUUUUUUCGUAUUUACAGCAGGAGAUACUAUACACCAAGUUGGUUUUAUUUACACUGUUCUGGUUCCCUGAUAUAUUAUUUAAUUUUGACUUAUGGUAACUUAAAAAGCCAUUUGACUGGAAAUGAUGAAAAACAAUUGAUCAACAUGACAGUCCAUUGGGAGAAAAGCAAAGCAAAACCGGACCUGGACUGUGGAAAUCAAGGAGCAGUGCCUUUAAAGAGAACAGAGGUUCAGACAAAGUAAUGAAGACUUACAUUAACCACACCUGGAUCAUGAAGUCCCUUCUGCAGUGAAGGCCUUGAGGAAAUCGUUUAGAG